UGGUAUCAGAGCCAUGGUUCGAUAUGAUAUGAUAUUAUAUACAUUUAAAUCUAUAAUUUAAUUUUAACUAAAUUUAAUAUAUGAUAUCUAGAUCUAAAAUUAGUUAUAGAUCUGAUCUCACAAACUGAUAUAAGAUUAUCCUGCUGUAAGGUUUAUUUCUUACAGUGCAAAGGUUGUCCUAGUUUGUGCUGAUCUUUAUAAAAUCUAAUUCUAAUUUGAAG
rnacentral:lncRNA from 1 species